CCUACGGGUGGCAGCAGUGAGGAAUAUUGGUCAAUGGCCGUGAGGCUGAACCAGCCAAGCCGCGUGAGGGAAGAAGGUACUGUGUUUUGUAAACUUCUUUUGUAGGGGAAUAAAGGUAUCCACGUGUGGAUAUUUGCAUGUACCCUAUGAAUAAGCAUCGGCUAACUCCGUGCCAGCAGCCGCGGUAAUACGGAGGAUUCGAGCGUUAUCCGGAUUUAUUGGGUUUAAAGGGUGCGUAGGUUGUUUUUUAAGUCAGCGGUGAAAGUUGUGGGUCAACCAUAAAAUUGCCGUUGAAACUGGAAGACGUGAGUGGGCUUGAGGUAGGAGGAAUGCGUGGUGUAGCGGUGAAAUGCAUAGAUAUCACGCAGAACUCCGAUUGCGAAGGCAGCUUACUAAGCCAUAACUGACACUGAAGCACGAAAGCGUGGGGAUCAAACAGGAUUAGAUACCCGAGUAGUC
rnacentral:rRNA from 1 species